ACGGAAGGCAGCAGUGAGGAAUAUUGGUCAAUGGGCGGAAGCCUGAACCAGCCAAGUCGCGUGAAGGAUGAAGGUAUUAUGUAUUGUAAACUUCUUUAGUCGCAGGGAAAUAAGGCGGACGCGUCCGCUGAUGCUAGUAUGCGAAGAAUAAGGAUCGGCUAACUCCGUGCCAGCAGCCGCGGUAAUACGGAGGAUCCGAGCGUUAUCCGGAUUUAUUGGGUUUAAAGGGUGCGCAGGCGGUCUUUUAAGUCAGUGGUCAAGUCGUGGGGCUCAACCCCAUCCCGCCAUUGAUACUGGAGGACUUGAUUGCGGUCGAGGUUGGCGGAAUUCGUCGUGUAGCGGUGAAAUGCAUAGAUAUGACGAAGAACACCGAUUGCGUAGGCAGCUGACCAGGCCGUAAAUGACGCUCAUGCACGAAAGUGCGGGGAUCGAACAGGAUUAGAUACCCUGGUA
rnacentral:rRNA from 1 species